rnacentral:rRNA from 1 species
AACGAACGCUGGCGGCAUGCCUAACACAUGCAAGUCGAACGAGACCUUCGGGUCUAGUGGCGCACGGGUGCGUAACGCGUGGGAACCUGCCCUUAGGUUCGGAAUAACUCCCCGAAAGGGGUGCUAAUACCGGUUAAUGUCUUCGGACCAAAGAUUUAUCGCCUUUGGAUGGGCCCGCGUUGGAUUAGCUAGUUGGUAGGGUAAAAGCCUACCAAGGCGACGAUCCAUAGCUGGUCUGAGAGGAUGAUCAGACACACUGGGACUGAGACACGGCCCAGACUCCUACGGGAGGCAGCAGUGGGGAAUAUUGGACAAUGGGCGAAAGCCUGAUCCAGCAAUGCCGCGUGAGUGAUGAAGGCCUUAGGGUUGUAAAGCUCUUUUACCCGGGAUGAUAAUGACAGUACCGGGAGAAUAAGCUCCGGCUAACUCCGUG